rnacentral:rRNA from 1 species
AGAACCUCUGAUGAAUGAAUUAUUAACUAAAUAAUAAAUCAAUGACUCUUUAAUUAACAUUAAAAGGACUUUAUAAAGAGAGUCAAAGAGUGAUUGAAAUUGUAGGGAGGGAAGCGGAUGGGGGCCGGUGAUGUGCCCAAUCAGAUGUGGAAAGGUGAUGAGUCGGUCCGCAUAUCAACUUGUGGAGUGGACCAGCAUGGUUUGGGGAAGUGGACAAGGCCCGAGCUCUCGAUACGCCUAUGAAAUUUCCUCUCCUCAAUUGUGGUAGGAAACAUGCACCUCUUGCGUACUACAACAUCUACGCGCUCUAGACGCUGGCCUAUGGGAUCUCUGUUCGACCUGUGUUUAAAAAUGGACAAAGGAGUCUGAUAUGUGUGCAAGUCAACGGGCGAAUAAACCUGUAAGCCGUAAGGAAGAUGAUUGGUUGUAUCCCCCCAAGGGGUUCACCGCAGACCGACCUUGAUCUUCUAAGAAGGGUUCGAGUGUGAGCAUACCUGUCGGGAUCCAAAACAUAGUGAAAUAUGCCUUAGUGGGGAGAAUCUAGGGGAAACUCUUGUGGAGGCCUGCAGCGAUACUGACAUGCAAAUCAUUCGUAUAACAUUGGUAUACUGGAGAAAGACUAAUCGAGCCAUCAAGUAGCUGGUUCCCUCCGAUGUUUCCCUCAGGAUAGCUUGAGCUCGCGAGCUAGUUCUAUCGGGAUAAGCGAAUUAUUAGAGGACUCGGGAGAGAAAUGCCCUCGACCCAUUUUCAAACUUUAAUUAGGUAGGACGGAGCGACUGCUUUGUUCAGCCGCGCCAUAUAAUCAAAAGCUCCAACUUUGUCAUUUUUUAUAUUCAGAAUUGGCGAUACGGGAUGAACCAGAAGCCAGGUUAUGGUUCUAAACUACGCGCUAACCUAGAUCCCACAAAGGGUGUUGGUCGAUUAAGACAGCAGGACGGUGGUCAUGGAAGUCGAAAUCCGCUAAGGAGUGUGUAACAACUAAUUAGCCAAAUCAACUAGAACUGAAAAUUUAUGGCAAUUAAAGAAAAUGAGAAGGAGGGCGUGGCGGGCGCUGUAUAACCUUGGGCGUGAGACUAGGCCCAACAUACAUCGGUGCAAAUCUUGGUGCUGGUAAAAAUAUCCAAAUGAGAACUUGGAAGUCCGAAGAGGGGAAAGGUUCCAUGUGAACGGCACUUGCACAUGGGUUAGUCGAUCCUAAGGGUCGGGGGAACCCCGACAGAUAGCGCCUUUUGCGCCUACUCCGAAAGGGAAUAAGGUUAAAUUUCCUGAAAGGUGAUGUGCCGGUUAACGCUAAAGUUAAAAAGUGCGGAUACGUCAGCGGGAGCCUCAGGAAGAGUUAUAUUUUCUUUUUAACAGCCUACCCACCCUUGAUUCGACUCAGACGGAGGGAGGGUCCAGUAGCUGGAAGAGCACCGCAUGUCACGUGGUGUCCGGUGCGCUCCCGGAGGCCCUUUAAAAUCCGGAGGAUCGAAUUUCAUCCAUGCCAGGUCGUACUCAUAACCACAUCAAGUCUCCAAGGUGAACUAUCUCUAGUCGAUGGAACAAUGUAGACAAGGAAAGUCGGAAAAAUUGAUCCAUAACUUGGGGAAAUGGAUUGGCUUUGAGGGAUGGGCACGGGGGUCCCAGUCCCUAACUCGUCGGCUGUCUGUAGUCUGCUCGAGUUGCUCCUACAGCGAGAGGUGGUCACCACGUGCUGGCCUGGGGACGGCCUGGGAAUGGUUCCUUCGGGUGCUUUCCCUGGGCAUCGAACAAGCAACUCAAUACUAGUAAGUACAAGGGGAAUCCGACUGUUUAAUUAAAACAAAGAAUUGGGAUUGUGCCAACGGAUGUUUACUCAAUGUGAUUUCUGCCCAGUCUUUGAAUGUCAAAGUGAAGAAAUUCAACCACGCACUGGUAAAUGGCGGGAGUAACUAUGACUGCCUUAAGGUAUCCAAAUGCCUCGUUAUCUAAUUAGUGACACACAUAAUGGAUUAACGAGAUUCCCAUUGUUCUUGUCUACUAUCAAGCAAAACCAUCGCCAAGGGAACGGGCUUUGCAGAAUAAGUGGAGAAAGAAGACCUUGGUGAGCUUAUUUCUACUCCGACUUCGUGAAAUCACAUGAGAGGUGUAGUAUAAGUGGGAUCUGAAAGGCAAAAGUGAAAUACUGCUACUUUUAACAUUAUUUUACUUAUUCCGUGAAUCAGAAGUGGGCACUUCCCCUCAUUUUGGACCCAAGGCUCGCUUUACGGGACAAUCCGUGCGGAAGACAUUGUCAGUUGAGGAGUUUGGCUGUGGCGGCACAUCUGUUUAAAGAUAACACAAGUGUUCUAAGAUGAGCUCAAUGAGAAUAGAGAUCUCGUAUGGGACAGAAGGGUAAAAUCUCAUUUGAUUCUUAUUUCCAGUACGAAUAAGAAUCGUGAAAGAAAGGCCUAACGAUCCUUUAGACCGUUGGAAUUCGAAUAACUGACCUGUGGCAGCCAAGCAGUCAUAGUGACGUUGCUUUUUUAUCCUUCGAUGUCCGCUCUUCCAAUCAUUCUGAACCAGAAUUUCGCAAGUGUUUGAUUGUUCACCCACCAAUAGGGAACGUGAGCUGGGUUUAGACCGUCUUGAGACUGGUUAGUUUACCCUACUGACUAUAGUGUCGCAAUAGUAAUUCAACCUAGUACGAGAGGAAUUGUUGAUUCACAAAAUUGACCAUCGCUCUUUGUUUAAAACAUAGUGCGCGAAGCUACCAUGUGCUGGAUUAUGAGUGAAUGCCUCUAAAGAAGAAAUUGAACUAGAAGUGAAGCAUGCGCCCACUGUCCGCUUGCCGAACUGCAAUAGGGGCCUCUAACCCCUAAGGGUACGUGGUGUUAGCUAAGUCUCCGUGACGGAAGCGACGCGGUAAUUGUGUUGAAAUACAAUUUCAAUCGAGCGGUAGGUUGAAUCCUUUGUAGGUGACUAAAGUACGCAACUAGGUAUUGUAAUUAGCAGAGUGGCCUUGCUACCACGAUCCACUAAGAUUCADCCCUUUGUCGCUCCGAUUCGU